rnacentral:rRNA from 1 species
AGUCGAGGGGCAGCGGAGGCGAGUGCUUGCACUUGCCAGACGGCGACCGUCGCACGGGUGAGUAACACGUAUGCGACCUGCCCGUAGCAGGGGGAUAAGCGGAAGAAAUUCCGUCUAAUACCGCGUAAUAUCUUUCGGGGGCAUCCCUGAGGGAUUAAAGGAAGUGAUUCCGGCUACGGAUGGGCAUGCGGCGCAUUAGCUAGUCGGCGGGGUAACGGCCCACCGAGGCGACGAUGCGUAGGGGUUCUGAGAGGAAGGUCCCCCACACUGGUACUGAGACACGGACCAGACUCCUACGGGAGGCAGCAGUGAGGAAUAUUGGUCAAUGGGCGAGAGCCUGAACCAGCCAAGUCGCGUGAGGGAAGACGGUCCUAUGGAUUGUAAACCUCUUUUGUCGGGGAGCAAAAAGGCCUCGUGAGGCCACAAGCGAGAGUACCCGAAGAAAAAGCAUCGGCUAACUCCGUGCCAGCAGCCGCGGUAAUACGGAGGAUGCGAGCGUUAUCCGGAUUUAUUGGGUUUAAAGGGUGCGUAGGCGGACUGGAAAGUCAGCGGUAAAAUCGAGAGGCUCAACCUCUUUCCGCCGUUGAAACUGUCGGUCUUGAGUGGGCGAGAAGUAUGCGGAAUGCGUGGUGUAGCGGUGAAAUGCAUAGAUAUCACGCAGAACUCCGAUUGCGAAGGCAGCAUACCGGCGCCCAACUGACGCUGAGGCACGAAAGCGUGGGUAUCGAACAGGAUUAGAUACCCUGGUAGUCCACGCAGUAAACGAUGAAUACUAAUUGUG